rnacentral:lncRNA from 1 species
AGAGGGAGCGCGCCUUGGCUCGCUGGCCUUGGCGGCGGCUCCUCAGGAGAGCUGGGGCGCCCACGAGAGGAUCCCUCACCCGGGUCUCUCCUCAGGGAUGACAUCAUCCGUCCACCUCCUUGUCUUCAAGGACCACCUCCUCUCCAUGCUGAGCUGCUGCCAAGGGGCCUGCUGCCCAUCUACACCUCACGAGGGCACUAGGAGCACGGUUUCCUGGAUCCCACCAACAUACAAAGCAGCCACUCACUGACCCCCAGGACCAGGAUGGCAAAGGAUGAAGAGGACCGGAACUGACCAGCCAGCUGUCCCUCUUACCUAAAGACUUAAACCAAUGCCCUAGUGAGGGGGCAUUGGGCAUUAAGCCCUGACCUUUGCUAUGCUCAUACUUUGACUCUAUGAGUACUUUCCUAUAAGUCUUUGCUUGUGUUCACCUGCUAGCAAACUGGAGUGUUUCCCUCCCCAAGGGGGUGUCAGUCUUUGUCGACUGACUCUGUCAUCACCCUUAUGAUGUCCUGAAUGGAAGGAUCCCUUUGGGAAAUUCUCAGGAGGGGGACCUGGGCCAAGGGCUUGGCCAGCAUCCUGCUGGCAACUCCAAGGCCCUGGGUGGGCUUCUGGAAUGAGCAUGCUACUGAAUCACCAAAGGCACGCCCGACCUCUCUGAAGAUCUUCCUAUCCUUUUCUGGGGGAAUGGGGUCGAUGAGAGCAACCUCCUAGGGUUGUUGUGAGAAUUAAAUGAGAUAAAAGAGGCCUCAGGCAGGAUCUGGCAUAGAGGAGGUGAUCAGCAAAUGUUUGUUGAAAAGGUUUGACAGGUCAGUCCCUUCCCACCCCUCUUGCUUGUCUUACUUGUCUUAUUUAUUCUCCAACAGCACUCCAGGCAGCCCUUGUCCACGGGCUCUCCUUGCAUCAGCCAAGCUUCUUGAAAGGCCUGUCUACACUUGCUGUCUUCCUUCCUCACCUCCAAUUUCCUCUUCAACCCACUGCUUCCUGACUCGCUCUACUCCGUGGAAGCACGCUCACAAAGUUCCUGACCUGGCCAUCCCGGGGUGCCCUUGACCAGCCCCGUGUCUCCUCAGGGUGUCCCAGCACCAGCCUGGCACAGAGUGGGGCUCAGUUAGAGUAUGUGGGAUGUUGGUUUCGCCAGGCACGUGGGCCGUGGCCCGGCUGGGUCGGCUGAAGAACUGCGGAUGGAAGCUGCGGAAGAGGCCCUGAUGGGGCCCACCAUCCCGGACCCAAGUCUUCUUCCUGGCGGGCCUCUCGUCUCCUUCCUGGUUUGGGCGGAAGCCAUCACCUGGAUGCCUACGUGGGAAGGGACCUCGAAUGUGGGACCCCAGCCCCUCUCCAGCUCGAAAUCGGCAGACUAGGAUGGAAGUGCCCUGUGAGCUGGGGGGCCCUUCAAAGGGCCAAGGAGAAAACGCAGGCCGAGGGACCAGCCUUCCAAAUGGGCUUCAAGCUCCAAUGACCUCC